GGUUCUGCACGGCCUGCAAAUAAUAUGCACACGUAGUACACACAAACAACACACGGUGUAUCAGAAUCCCACUGCCUAUUGAACGGUGCCGGGGUGGAGAGUAAUGUUUCACUGCGUAGGUGCGCCACACAAGGAAUAUUCAGGACAACAACACUGGCAUGGAACGGAAUGGUGAGCGACAGUGGUAAAUAUCGGCAAACGGCACCCGGCCGUGCAAUGCAGCAGCUAUCACACGCUACCUGCCCUGAGAGUCUCGCACUACUGCUACUUCUGCCAGCCCAAAAUCACGUUGCAAAAAGGAUGAAAAGCGUCGUUACCAGCAAAAACACACAAGGAGGACGUAAAACCGUGUCCUUUUUUUGUUUGGCACAUGCAGCGAAACACACACUCCAACGCGGUUGGUGUGAGCCACACUAUGCGACACGCUUAUCAGCGAAGGAGCCGUCCCAAACGAACGAAGCUUUUGAGUACAGGGUAGAACAACCCUAUCAUUGAAUGUAUCAAAUUGGCCAUAUAACCAUAGAAUGGUAAACGGUCAUGUUCUGCGGCACAGUCAUGUGAGAAAUUAUCAGCCAGGAAGAGCCUCGAGUUACGCCUAUCUGUACCAAAUGGUACCUCGCGCUUAGACAGCAGCCCGGUUCGAUGUACCUGCCCCAUCCGUGCGAGUUAGUUUUAAGUUUUAAAACUUCCCGCGCGUAGCAGAUGCAGAUGGCCUUGAUCCUUGACCACCAACAACCCAUUUCCAGCGCUGCCCACCCCUUUCGUGCCGAAAUGGUGCAUCGCUUGAUGUCGCCGACACCUCCCGUGGCUCAUGAAUAAAUUAAAUGACAAUUUAUUUACCCAACCGACGACGCAUCAUCAUCGGUGUCCAUCCAUCCAUUCCUGGUGGUACACAAAACACGUGUGCCCGCGCGGGGGGUUGAUUGGUACGGCGACGCGCGGCGGUGGCGCUGAUUCCCGAUAAUGGUGAUAUGAAUAAAUUUGACGGAACAGGUUUUUUCUCCCACAGAACUGGUAUUGCGAUACAGAUAUAUGUAUUCCUCGGUUGGCCAAACCCUGGUACAUUCGAUCG